AAGCUCGCAUUCGUAAUCGCUCAAAGGUGGAAUACCCAAAUAUCUCUGAAUCCCAUUAGGACCUAAUUCCAAGGGAGCAGCGAAAUAUAUCUAAUUAUGAAAAAUAUUGCGUAUUUGAUGUACACUCCCGUCCGUAAAACAGGAAACACUUGCUAAUCUUCAUCAUGAGAUGAAAAACAACACACAUAAAUAAAGAAUGGCUUUGAAAAACUUGAUAAACUAAGAAUUCUGUAAUUUACGGACGGUAGUGUAACAAUACCUUUACAUAGAGACAUGCAAAAUCUUGCAGCCGCAAAAGACAGA
rnacentral:lncRNA from 1 species